CAGUCGCCGCGGUAAUACGAAGGGUGCAAGCGUUAAUCGGAAUUACUGGGCGUAAAGCGUGCGUAGGCGGUUUGUUAAGUCUGUUGUGAAAUCCCCGGGCUCAACCUGGGAAUGGCAAUGGAUACUGGCAAGCUAGAGCGUGUCAGAGGAUGGUGGAAUUCCCGGUGUAGCGGUGAAAUGCGUAGAGAUCGGGAGGAACAUCAGUGGCGAAGGCGGCCAUCUGGGACAACACUGACGCUGAGGCACGAAAGCGUGGGGAGCAAACAGGAUUAGAUACCCGUGUAGUCCCUGUCUCUUAUAA
rnacentral:rRNA from 1 species